rnacentral:lncRNA from 1 species
AUGAAAAUUCCCCCAAAUGAGUCCUUCUCCGAGGGGGUGGAGGUCACACAGCUGGCACAACUGGUAUCACAACCAACUCGAGGCGACCCAGAGGAAGAUGCUGCGCCAAGAGAAGCAAAGCGAAGGAGCGCGACCCAGGAGGCUAGCGAAAUCCCCGCCAAGCCCCCAGGAGGCGGAGAGAAGCCCAGUCGCCAGGCACCGGCCACGGCGCACGCCAACAUUCAGGAUAAUUCUCCUUUCCAAGCCCGGGAGUUCCGGGGCAGGCGAAAAAGGGGGGAUGGGAGACCCACAGUCCCUUUAACCCUCCCCCCUGGCCUGCCAACCUUUUCCGAACCCCCAUGUCACACAACUUCCUCAUCAUGGAAACUUCCACUGGGUUCGGCGCUGAGGAUGCCAAACUCCAUUUCACAAGGAACAUGUCAACAGCUGGGCUUGGGGUUUGAGGAACAGAGUCGCUGCGAUUGGAACAGAGCCCGGCCACCCUGUUCCACCACUGUCCACUCCGUAGCUCCCAGCCUGCCGCCGCGCGGUGCCCGAACACGAGAGGGCACCUCCUCCCAGAUCCGGGGCGCAGAAGCCCCGCGGAGGCAGGUAGAAGAUUCUGAGGCCCUGGGCGGGAACUAGUAAGCCACAAUCUGGAAGAGUCUUUUAUCACCAUGUGGAGGAGAACUAGAGCACUCAUGUUGAACUAUUACCGAGAAAAGUAAUCAACUUCUUUUGUGUUAAGUCACUGAAAGGCAAGUGUUAAUUUGUUGCAGUAAUUGGUGCUCCCUUAACACACCUGUCAGCCAGGCCAAACUCUAUCACAGCAUAAAUAAUCUUUUCCUUAAAUAAAUACAGGUAAAAGAAUAAAAUAGACCUAAGUGCAUUAAUAUGAAUAUAGGCUCAAAGCAAAAUGUUGGGCUAUAAAUGUUCAGAGUGAUAAUUUUUUAAGUUGAUGUGUAAUUUAGUACAGUAAAAUAGAUAAAACCUAAAUGUUCAGUUCAAUGAAUUUUUACAUGUUCAUACCCCUGUAUAAUCACCUCCCAGAACAACAUAGAAAAUACUUCAUAUAAAUGGAAUCAUACAGUGUGUUUUCUCUUGUGUCUGGUUUCUUUCACUCAAUGUUUUUGAGGUGAAUCCACAUUAUUGUGUGGAUUAGAACGCUGUUCUCUUAAAAUUUCUGUUUGACAUUACGUUAUAUGAAUAUGCCACAAUUUGUUUAUUCAUUCUCCAAUUGAUGGACAUUUGGGUUGUUUCCAAUUUGGGACUAUGACAAAUGAAGCAGCUAUGAACAUUCUUGAACACUUAUUUUUGUGGUACAUGCACUCAUAUCUCCUGGGCAUAUGCAUAGGAGUGAAAUUGAUGGUCAUAUAUUUAUCUGAGUUAUUCUAUUAAAGCUCUGUGAGGUACUAGCACAAUUACGAACAACUAGAAAAUGGUCAGUUACCACUUGCUGACUUCUGUUCAUUCUUACAGUUUUCACAAAUAAAAUAGUCAAAGUUAUAUGGAGUCUAACUUGAGUGAGUAAAUAUUCUUCAGUAUCACAAAUAGAAAAUCCUCAAAAUGAUCAAUAUUCAAAACUACCGUUGCCUUAUGUAGCAAUUACAAGCUCUGCUUGCAGCUGCAAAUCAUUUUUAUGAACUAAGCUACAUAUUAAAGCCCAUGUAAAAAUGAAGAUGCUGAUAAAUUAAAGUAUAUCAAGAAAAAGGUGAAUGGCUGAAAGGAAGGUAAGAAUACCAAAACAUUUCCAGAUUAAAUCUUACUUUUCAGCUGUUUGAAAGAUAGGUUUAAGACAUGCUGAGUAAUUGCUAAUUGGACUGUAAUAACCUAUGUUCACUGUGAGUGCACAGAAGUACAGUAUAUUGUUAAAUUCUUUGUCAAUCACAAAAGAAAUCUAGUGGUUCAAGACACAUCUUCCCAAAACAUGCCAAUUAAGUGUCCUUCCUUUUUGAGUUAUGCUUAUAUGCAUCAAAAAUGGAAAUGUAAUUGUUAAAAAUUUGGGGAAAAUAUCCUUUUUUAAAGGAAGGGAAUGAGGUAAAUCUUACUCAUUUUCAUGGAAUAAACUUUAAUAUAUCUAGAUAUAACAACACAUAUAAUAAAAUGCUAUGAUUAUGGGCUAUUUUCAGAUCCUUAAAAUCCCUGAAUGAGUCAUAUGUGAAGUGACAGUCAUAACUUCAGAUUUGCUUGCCUUUGUCAGUUAUUUUAAAUGAAAUUCUCAAUUUGAGGGCAAGAUGGGUCUUAGUGACACCUCCUAUUUUCAUAUAUUAUAGCUCUCUUUCACAAAUAAACUUGCCUUAUCCUGUUUACAAAGUAUUGCGUAAAAUGCUAGUCAUAACUCCUACAAACACAACUGUAGAACAUAUUUUGAACUUCUAUAAAUGAUACAUUUGAGGCAAACAAAUCUACAGCUAGUACAAGAAAGGAUUGAGUUUUCAUUAUGCAGAUUUAGAACAAAACCCUGCAAUGUAGUUCAUGCCAGAUAAUGAAUAAAAAUAAUUUGAGUUCCAGGUUUGUGUCCUUUCUAAUCAUGUGAUUUGAGCAUGUUACUUAGCUUCUCUAAGCCUCAGUUUCCACAACUGUAGAAAUGAAGAAAACCAUUGUACCUACCUGAUAGGGACGGUAUGAGGAAUCUGUGGUAAUAGAUGGAUAAUGCUACACACGGUGCCUGGCACACAGUAGCUGGCUCAUUA